GAUCCUGGCUUAGGAUGAACGCUAGCUACAGGCUUAACACAUGCAAGUCGAGGGGCAUCAUGACGAUAGCUUGCUAUGUGAUGGCGACCGGCGCACGGGUGAGUAACGCGUAUCCAACCUUCCCCUUAGUAGGGCAUAGCCCGGCGAAAGUCGGAUUAAUACCCUAUGUUAUUCGUAGAGGACAUCUGAAAUGAAUCAAAGAUUUAUCGCUAAGGGAUGGGGAUGCGUCCGAUUAGGUAGUCGGCGGGGUAACGGCCCACCGAGCCUUCGAUCGGUAGGGUCCUGAGAGGAAGGUCCCCCACACUGGUACUGAGACACGGACCAGACUCCUACGGGAGGCAGCAGUGAGGAAUAUUGGUCAAUGGGCGUAAGCCUGAACCAGCCAAGUAGCCGUGCAGGAUGACGGCCCUAUGGGUUGUAAACUGCUUUUAUACGGGGAUAAAGUGAGGGACGUGUCCCUUAUUGUAGGUACCGUAUGAAUAAGGACCGGCUAAUUCCGUGCCAGCAGCAGC
rnacentral:rRNA from 1 species